rnacentral:rRNA from 1 species
AUUGAACGCUGGCGGCAUGCUUUACACAUGCAAGUCGAACGGUAACAGGCCGCAAGGUGCUGACGAGUGGCGAACGGGUGAGUAAUGCAUCGGAACGUGCCCAGUCGUGGGGGAUAACGCAGCGAAAGCUGCGCUAAUACCGCAUACGAUCUAUGGAUGAAAGCGGGGGACCGUAAGGCCUCGCGCGAUUGGAGCGGCCGAUGUCAGAUUAGGUAGUUGGUGGGGUAAAGGCUCACCAAGCCAACGAACUGGAGCUGGUCUGCGAGGACGACCAGCCACACCGGGACAGGGACACGGCCCAGACUCCUACGGGAGGCAGCAGUGAGGAAUUUUGGCCAAUGGGCGCAGGCCUGAUUCAGCCAUGCCGCGUGCAGGAUGAAGGCCUUCGGGUUGUAAACUGCUUUUGUACGGAACGAAAAGACUCUGGUUAAUACCUGGGGUCCAUGACGGUACCGUAAGAAUAAGCACCGGCUAACUACGUGCCAGCCGCCGCCGUAAUAC